rnacentral:lncRNA from 1 species
GCAGCCGCAGCCCCUGGCGCUAACGGUCGGUAACGGCCCGCGCGCGCCGCCCGCCGGGGGCUCGCGCCAGCCACGAGGGAGCGUCCGCGGCCCGCGCGCCCGCGCGGCGGAGGAGAGGUGAGCCCCCGCCCGGGCCAGGCCCUCUGGCCGCGCCGUCCGCCCCUCUAGUCGUGUCCCCUCGUGGGCCGAACGGACGCGGCGGUGCCCCGCGCCCGACCAGACGUCCCGUGGGCUAGGGCCUGGGCCUCGGGCCGCGUCGGCGCCGGUCGAGCCUCUCCGGGUGUCGGGGUUCGGGGCGGGCGCGCGUGGGCGUGGCUCCUCUGUCCACGCCUGUUCCCUUCGUCGCCGCGGCUCUCGUCCGGGACACGGCUUUCCGGAGUAGAGCCCUUGGAGGUGUUAAGUGUGAUGCUUCCAUAAUACAUUUGGAUGCUGUCAGCUAAGUUCACUUCUGAACUAAGGGGUUCCUCCAAAUGUUGGCUGAAAUUCAUCCCAAGGCUGGUCUGCAAGUGAGUGUCUGCACACAGUUUGCUUGUAUGUGGAGUCGAUCCAAAAUAGCAUCAAUGUUGGUUUUACCAAAGUAUUUAUUAUUGAUAAUAGAGGCUAAGUACAAAAUGUAGAGAAUGUCAGCUACUUGAGGCCUUUGAUUAUUAAAAAUUUUAUUAAUGCAUUAAACAAGAGUACAGUAAAUAGAUAAAUUUUAGGUUCAUGAAAUAAAACUGAAUAAUUUAUUUUUACUUACUAUUUAUCAUGGAAUUACUUUGAAUAAUUUAUUUUUAAUGGUAUAAUUGGACAGUAAAAUUUAUAAACUCAGUGCUUUUCAUAAAAAUCAAAGUGAAGUUUGUAAUAUUUUAUACAAAUAGAAUUAUUAUUUAAGAGAAAUAACCUGUUUAUGCCUAAUUACAGUUUUUAAUCAUUUCAGUUACCUAUUUCUUUUAAGAAUAAAUUUAGUGGGAAUAUCAGUUCCAGUCAUGGGUACCAAACUUUUUUAGUGACAGAGUACACACAGGUAUGUAAAACUUGUCAUUUCUCAUCAAAUAGAGGCUGCUGAAUAUAGGCAGGUAAGAAAAGCUAUGAGAAAGAAUUGUUUUGCAGAAUAUUUGUCUAGUUGUCAGAGCAAGGAACUGAAUUUAUUGACACAGAACAUUUUAUUAAGUAAAAAAAAUGGUUCUUAUAACAAAAAAAAAAGCUAAUUUUACAGAAGGCAGUAGUUAAUAUAGCCGCCAAUAAAAUAAAUGUUUCUCUGAAUACUUUCCGAGGCAUUACAGUGAUUUUUAACUAAUAUGAAGUGAUAUAUAAUAAUUUUAAAGUAACAUCCUUGAGUUUUCCUAUUAUUAAUUGCUUAUGGAAAUUGGGUUUCACGUAUGACUGAGAGCUAAAGCAUUACAGUGAGUUAGAAAACACAACACAAAUGUAAAGAAAAUGUUAGGUGGUGAGUAAUCUGAUUCCUUUUUGUUUGCCUUUAAGCUUAGUUUUUUGUUUUGUUUUACUUUGUUUUAAACCAUGUAUAAAAUUGUUGAAUUUAAAAGAUAAGAGGAUUAAGUAAUUUCUUUUUUCCUCCUAAGGAUAAAUGUAGGAAAAAUCUAAACACAUAGGCAGAUUGGUUGAGUUUUAUAUCUGUUAUCGGCCACAUUUAUUAAGAUUCAUAUUUCAUGUAUAUUAGAGGUAUUCACAUGUAUUAAAAUUCUUAUAUUCCUUCUAUAUAAAAUAGAUGUAGGGGGUUCCCACUCUUGAAAAUAUGAAGAAAAGAUGUCCUUUCAGCAAUAAUGGGUUAUGGUUGAUUAACUGAGAAGGUUGUAUUAAACGUUCUCUAGUAGAAAUGGCUAAAGAGCAUGCUUUUUGAGAAGUGUAUCAUCUAGGAAGAAAAUCAAAUGGAGUAUUGGUAAUUAAAUUGUAAUUCCAUGAAGGAAGGAAGUGGUGCAAAAGAUGAAGCUAACUAUUCCUGUUUUUCUUUUUAAGAGUCUGCAAUUCAUAAUGGAGCUACUGUACUGGCUAUUGGAAGGAGGAGAUUCUGAAGAUAAGGAGGUAAUAUUAUCUCUUUUAAAAGAAUACUUUCCUCUGUAAUCCUGAAUCUUUAUUACAUGUAAGAACUUUGUGCAGUAGACAGCAAUUUCUUUGAAUUUGGUAUAUGGAAACAAUUUUAUUUUCCUCUGCUAAGUUUUUGAGCCUGCCUCUUCUAGUGCCAUGGACUGCAUUGGUAGAGCUGAGAAAUAUCAUUUAGCCAUACUCAGCACCCUUAAAAUAGCUUCUUUCUGAGAAUUAGAUCUGUGAAGGUGUCCUGCACAGUUCUUGUAGAUGUCAUUUUAGUUUGUGGUUGACGUGCAUGCAUUUAGCAUGUUGCUUAACCGUCCUCAUUCGCCUCCCAGUUCUUUGUUGCCUUCAUUUGGGGGGAUGUGUUUUCUGCUGGAUGAUUUACUGCUAGACAUGACCAAACUCUGAGUAUAAGACUUGGUGUUUGGCAGCUGGUUCCAGUGCUCUGCUGAGAAGUAGUUGGGCCCAGCCUGGGGCAUUGUAGUGUCCUGGAGGCCGGGAGCUCCUGCACAGGGGUUCUUUUCCUGGUUCAGAGCCUUAGGUGCCUUUCCACUUUUCACGUAAUCUUUUCCUAGGUUGGCUUGCUGCUUACUUUGCAGCUGUUGCAGGGAUUCACAUGGAAUGGAGGGCUCCCUUUUAUUGUGGAUUAUUUCUUUGAUAAUUUACCCAUGUGCUUUUUCAUUUUCAAAAACCCAGUGGUGUUUAAGAAUGAAAGAUUCUUGAAGAACAAAAAUUGGGUUAAAUUUGUAUCUAUCAGAAAAGAUUCUAUCCUCUGAUGCUAUGUAGGCACAUUGAAUAUGCAGGCUAAAUUAAAAACAGAGUAAAACCUUUUUAUAAUAUGCCAAUUACUAUAUCUAAGAAUGUUUAUACAGGCUGAAAUUUUGUAAUGGUAUUUAUAUCUGUUUUCCUUUUUAAGGAAAAUAAUAUACUUUUCUAGGCAUCAAAAAUAUCUGCCCCUUUCACUAAUGCUGAUGUACCACCUUCCCCCAACCCCCAACGCUAAAUUUGACUGGCUUAAAAACAUCUGCCCCCUGAACUAUAUCUGGGGAGGAAUAUUAAUAAAACAAUGAAGGACUUCAUGGUGUCUAGUUAUAUAAUUAGGAAAUUGGUUAGAAACGUGGCUAAAACCAGUUUCUUUCAUUAAAAGAACUAGUGUACAUUUAAAAACAAAAACCUUCAGGAAAAAGACUCUUUGAUCUUUAAGUCAAAUAGUAUUUUUGGUUAACACAGCAGGAAGGGGAAAUAUACCAAUUUCAGAUUCUUUUAUUUAUGCCUAAGUAGAGGUUGUAAGCAGCUAAGGAAGUGAUUAAAAUGUAGUCUAGUAAAAAAUGGUGCUGAUUACUUGGAAAGCAGUUUACAUUUGCAAAAAAAUUCAGUAUUAUGACCUUCACCAACUUUUACACAUCAUAUACUUGGGUUAUUACUUAUGGUAUAGCUUGUGUAUGGAAUGCAAGGGUAUUUUCAAAUUGACUAGGUCUUGCUGGUCAUCUUAAAAUAUGUUACAAUAUUACAAAAUUGAAAUGUAAUAUUUUUUAAUAGAAGGAAAAUAUAAAUUUAAUAUCUGGGCAAUUGAGACCUUUAAACUUACUUUAAAAGUAUGAUCUUGAUGUAUAUGAUACUGUUUUGUCUUUGCUAUAUUAACAGAAUUAGAGGGGUGUUCUGCAAUUCAAAUACCUUAUAUAUUCCAAAUUUUAUUCUCUAUAAUGGACUUUUAAAAUAAAAGGUAUAUGUGCUUCAAGAGGGCAAAAUUUGAAUCAUGAGCUAAUUUGCUAAGCAUCAGAUUAUAGAAAAGCAUCCUUGAUUAAUUUGGAACUGUGAAAGGGGGCGGGUAAAACUGUUUUCUGCAGAAAUUUACUAGUGCAGCAACCAUUUAAAUUAAAUGUUUGUUAACAUAAUAGUGAUGGCAUUUUCUCCUCCCCCUCCUUGUGGUUUUGUCCAACUAGAUGUUACAGUGGCAGUUGCACUGACUGUUAAGUGUUUAAAUGAUGACACCAUUAUGUGAAGUGAUUUUGAAAUGAGAGAUUCCAGCCAAGAAUUACAUCUGCUCCCAUCUCCUUCAAAUCAUACUCUCUGGCAGUACAGAUUAUGAUUGAUUUGUUUGUGACAGAUUGCAGGAAACAGUCAUUGAUUUUUCAAUAUUUUACCUUAAAAUUAUUUACAGUUGUAACCAUGGGGAGGUAUUUUCAUGGGCUGUCAGCCCCUGAAAGACUAGGAUAAUAUUCCCUGCUCUCUGACAAGACAAAUUACCUGUAAUGAGUGCAGUAGCUGAAGGGUAUACUUUUAUUUUAAAAUAUGUCAAUAACCCCAGUGACUAAACGAAUAUUGAUUUAGCAUAAUGAAGCCUGAGUAACGUGAAAAUGAGCUUUUUCAAGGGGCAUGGUAAAGUCUUUCUUUUUAGCUGGUUGUAAGAAGCUUUUGAUUCUUUUCAGCCAGCUGGUAGGAAUAUAGAAUUUUAUAAGCAAACCAUCAGGAAUGAUAGUGUUGUUUCUGAUAAGCAACAUCCAAAUAUUUUGACCCUGCUUUUAGUGGUUUUUUUCAAAUCUUAUUUUGAGUCUUACUUUUAGUCAUAGAAUAGCUACUGAUUUGAUGCGGUCUUUAACUGACUUAAUAUUUUUACAAUUUCAAUAUAUUUUGCAUUGGAAUCUCCAGUAAUGAAUAUUAAAAUAUAUGUACAAUCAUUUGUAGAUGAUAUCAAUUAUAUUAAGACAUUUCAGAUGGGCUAUUGUAGUAUUUAAUGUGCCGUAUUUUAUGGUAGAAUAAUUCUCAGUCUCUGGACAUCAAGAUUGCUUUCAGUGGGAAUGAAGAUUAAUUUACUUCAGUCCUGAUUUUUUAGGCAUCAAUGCAUGUUUUCAUUUUUGUCAGACUUUUACCCUCUUUUAAUGUAAUUCUCAACUUCUUAUGGAUUUACUUCCCAAUACAUAAAAUCCUUCAAAACAAGAAUGAUAAUAAUUUUUAUACUUUUUAUAAAAAUAAAUUUAUUUUUAGUCCAUCAAGGUGUCUGAAGAUUUUAUGCCUAGGUAUCUCCAUAUCUAACUUGAUAAGGAAAAUAGGAUAAACAAUGCUGGUAAUAGCAGGAAAGUAAGUAUUUGAAUAAGAUGUCAAACUGAUAUUUCAUGUGAACCUAACUCAUUUUAUGGUAACUAAUAAUUAUCUUAUUUAAAUCAAUAGGUAAAACCUGUUUAGAAAUUAAAAAUGAGUUACGAUUUAAAGAAAAUUCAGAUGACUCAUUGUGAGUGCUAGUUCUCUUGUAGGAUGCCACUGGAAAUGUUGAAAUGAAAAAUAUUCAGCCGUUGGUCUUUGAAAUUUCCUGUGAUGUGUUUCAAUCUAGAUGCAAAGAACAUGGAAAAAUCAAAGUGCUCGAGUGGUUUAAAUAUGUUUUGGGUAUUCCUGUUUAUAGACUAUAAUACUUUUCCAAUUAAAAUCCUCAGUUGUCACGCAGAAGAAGGUUAAGCUGUAUUUGAUUGCCAGUUUUACUGAAAAUGCUUAGUAUUUUACAGUAUCACCAAAUAUAUUUUGUUUAGCCAAGGUAUAGGAAAAAUAAAAUAAAUUGUAUAGGUUGACUUUUUUCUAAAAUGUCUUUAUUGGAUUGAAUGAAUGUUUAUACCUGAAAAAAAAAGGUUCAAAAAAAUUCCUUUUUCUAUCAGAGUCAUUCUUUUGACAAUCAGAUAUUAGACUAGGUUUAAAAUAACUUUCUAAUAUGACUCAUAUUUAUGGGAGGAAAAAGACUUGAAAGAUAUUCCUAUGUGUACUUUAAUUUUCUGUAAUAGUCCCUCUGGAAUAGAAUAUCUCUUCCUCAAACAAAUCUAUUGGCUCAUUUCAUAUACAAGAAAAAGUUGCCCUAAAUGGCAGAGUUUCAUCUCUGUAAAGAAGGCUGACAUCCACUUCCUUCACAGAAUCCCUGCAUUUGGGUAAUUGAGUAAUGAUAGAUUACCUUGCCAUUGGGAAAUACCUUGUUGUGGCCUUUGUAGCAGCUAUAGGAAGAUGGAAGAAUUCUUUUGUAUAGACAGGUCUCUAGCCUCUUUGGUGUGGACACUGUGAAGGGGUACAUCUGGUGAGAAGGAGUGCUUAGGGAAGGAACUGGGAAGGUCCACAAAGGCUGAUGAUGACAAAGAAUCCAAGGGCUAUGAUGAAUUCUUAAGCUUAGAUCUCAGAGUCAUAAAGUAAAUUUAUUAGGCUAGAGAGAUUUCCUUUUUUAUUUUUGAUCAAACUUUAUUUUUUCAGAUUGUUAAGUUCACAUGCAGUUGUACAAAAUAAUACAGAGAUCUUUGAACACUACCCAGUUUCUCCUAAUAGUAACUUCUUGCAAUAUACUGUAUAGCACAGCAUCACAACCUGGAUACUGACAUUGAUGCAGUCAAGACAGAGAACAUUUAUAUCAUGAGGAGGAUCCCUCAUUACCGCCCUUUGAUAUCCACCCCUACUUCCAGACCAUCUCACUCCUCCCUUAACCCUGGCAACCACUAGCAUGUUCUCCAUUUCUAUAAAUUUGCCUUUAUAGGAAUGUUAUAUAAUUGCAAUUAAAGUGUGUAACCUUUUGGGGUUUGACUCACCCGGCAUCAUUUUCUGGAGAUUCAGCUUAUAUGUGUCAAUAGUUUGUUCCCUUUUUUUUAGUUCAGUAGUAUUCUGUGGUACGUGUGUACCACAUCACUCAUCAAUUCGGACUUCUGGGUUGUAUCUGGUAUUUGAUUAUUACAAAUAGAAGUACUAUAUAUAUAUUCGUGUAGAGGUUUCUGUGUGAACAUAAACUUUCAUUUUCCUGGGACAGAUGCCCACGAGUGAAAAUUGUGAGUCAUAUGGUAAUUAUGUAGAGUAUUUUUUUUUUGAGACGAUUUGUUUAUGAUUUUAAAACAUAAAAAUAUAAGUUGUAGCCAAAUAUAAGGAAGGAUUUUUCCACAAUCUAGACUUUAUUCUUAUUUUAGAGAAAUACUUUUGAAAAAAUUGCUUUAUUGGCAAACAAUUCCUAUGUAAAGGAAUAAAAGACGCAUAUACUCUAGGAAAGAUGUUGCAAAGCUGACAGGCAACUUUGAGAAAGAUGAGGGCAGUUUUCCAGUGUUACUGGAGACUUGACAUUCAAGGAUGUAUUAUGAUAGUUUCUGAAUUGAUAGAUUCUUUAGCGUUUGUCACUACCCUCAGGCCUGCAGUUUUUAUUUGUAGAAUUAACUCAUCUUUACAAUGCUUUGUUGAGUGCUGUUGCAGAAAAUGCUCAUGUAAUUCAAUUAUAUGCAGUUAGGAAAAAGAAGUAUCUUUUUCUAGUACAUGGCCCCUAAAAUGAUGACUUUCCACAAUGCUGAAUGGAGGAAACAGCUCUGUUUCCAUCAAACUCUGGUGGAAAUUAUACAAAGUUAUAUUAUGCUUUAUGAGACAUAGUGAGGUAGUACACAACCAUAUAUGCUAUAUUAUUGGGGAGACCCACUGAAAGAAUUUUCAAGGAUAAUUUUUGCUCUGAUUUUCUAUCAUGUAUAUUGACUUUAUUGAUUGAUUGAUUGAGAUGGAGUCUCACCCCGUCACCCAGGCUGAAGUGCAGUGGUGCAAUCUCUGCUCACUGCAACCUCCGCCUCUCAGGUUCAAGUGAUCCUCGUGCCUCAGCCUCCCGAGUAGCUGAGACUAUAGGUGUGUGCUACGAUGCCCAGCUAAUUUUUGUAUUUUUAGUAGAGACAGGAUUUGGUAGCCUGGUCUCGAACUCCUGACCUCAGGUGAUCUACCCACCUUGGCCUCCCAAAAUACUGGGAUUACAGGUGUGAGCCACCGUGCUGGCCAAGUAUAUUGACUUUAAAACGUUACCGGCUGGGCGUGGUGGUUCACGCCUGUUAUCCCAGCACUUUGGGAGCCCGAGGCGGAUGGAUUACCUGAAGUCAGGAGUUCGAGACCAGCCCAACCUGGUGAAACCCCGUCUCUACUAAAAAUACACAAAUUAGCCGGGCGUGGUGGCAGGCGCCUAUAAUCCCAACUACUGGGAAGGCUGAGGCAGGAGAAUUGCUUGAACCUGGCAGGCGGAGGCUGCAGUGAGCCAAGACUGCGCCACUGCACUCCAGCCUGGGCAACAAGAGCAAAACUCAGUCUCAAAAAAAACAGAAAAAAAAAGUUACCACGGGUGAAACAUUGGGCUGGUCACAGUGAUCCUUCUAACAGCAGUCAAUAUUAUAAAUCUAGCUUUUUUUUUUGAGUGAGAUACUAGGCCCAGGGAACCCGAGUCUUUCAAUCCUCAUGAAUAUAGUUUAAUCUUUAGCUCAUUAUGGUCAUGACCAUAGUUAAAUAAAUGACACGAGAUAAUAAAAUAGUCUUUGCCCUUAAAACUGACCUGGGU